rnacentral:rRNA from 1 species
GCUUGAAGUCAGCCAUGCUGCGCGGACUCAGCCCGGCUGAUGCCUGGUGUAUUUCCCAGCAGCAAGUCAGCAUGGAUUUGGAUCGCCGGAGAAGGGUGGGAGGAAUGUGGCACCCUCGGGUGUGUUAAGCCUCCUACUGGAUACGGCGAUUUGGAUCCAGGAACGCAGUGUGCCUCUGGCGGGUCUUCGGACACCUUCACACUUAGGAUGCUGGCGUAAUGGCUUUAAGCGG